AUCUCUUUUGUCAAAAAUAAAAAGCAGGCAUCUCAACUCAACAAAUACAUUAUUCCAGAUACAUAAAAUGUUAGAUUCAGCCACAUAAGUGUUAUUACGGAGACGAGAUUCAAACCAAUCUGAGCCUUUCGAGCUUCAAAGAUUGUAACUCAUGUUCAUUUUCUGCACUUAUGUCAAUCUAAUCCCCAACUGCUCUGAUGCUGGACGCUCGUUGGGACAUAGUGACACAGAGAACAUAUGAAACUAAAAUCUAUCACCGAGUCAAUUCCUCUUCUUUGAAUGGGAGAAAAGGUUACAAAUAGUGAUGCAGACAGAUGACAACUGAGGGUCCUUCACUAACUACAAAGCUAAGGUUCAAAUUCAAUGCCGACUAAUAAAUGUGGUUUAGACUACAUAGCGAAGGUCCGGGAUUAAACCGUGUCCCUUCCUCACAGCCAUUGACUACGCAGUUAGCCUGUGCCAAUCAUCCCAUUCCUUUACCAGGAGCUGCAAGAAAGGAAUUGCCUGUACAGAGAGACUAGGAUGACUUGGACUGCAAGGUAACAAAAAAUUGCCCCUUCUUAAGUAAGGUGAGGUGGGUUGUUUUUCUCAAUGCCAUAACUUACUGCAGAACCCAUUCCUAGGCCUCUUACUGGAUACGACAUCCGAGAACGAAUCAACCAACUGUUCAGCUAAGCUACCAUGGUCAUCAUUCAGAGUCCUAAUGAAAGUAUGCACCACCCUUCGCUCCUGUUCCGUUGAUCUCAAGCUAAACCACGUCAGCAGUUUCAGUCUGAAUUCCUGAUCGAUGUGACCUCCACAUUCCAGCAUUCGGAUCGUCUUCACACAAUACACAAAACUGUCGUCUAAGGAGCCUGGUUUUCCUCGUGAGACACGAAAAGGGGAUCCCCCAUUGAUGAGGGUACUGUCACAUUCAUGCACCUCCUCGUUCAUCCUCUUCCUGCUGCGCUUGGUGUCUUCUUCUCCCCGGCCGGAAUCAACGGCGGUCUGCCAGUCACCACCAUGUGAAUGCCAUCAUCCCGGGUCUCUGCUAUAGUUACAGCAGCAUCACAACACUUGUCAGUGCCAGCAUUACAGAAACCUUCCACGCCGGCUCGCUCUUGUGCCCACGCCAUACGUAUGAUUUUCCCAAGCUCCCGGACUCUGAAUCCGGAGAAUUCACUCCCUCUUUCGUUAGGAUGAUCAUCCUUCUUACCAUUUGCUGCAACUGAAGAAGAACUAGGAUACUUACGAAUAAUGUCGACACUUUUGGUGAAGCACUUGGCCUCUGAAUGACCUAAAUCACCAGAAUCAGUGAAUGACAUAAUUCGAAAUGUAUACUCUGUGCAUGGCUGCAGAUUUGUUAUCAAAAUCCUCCUCUGAGUCUUUGGGAACACACUAACAGGUUCCUUUUGAGGCGUCUCUUCUCGACUCUUGCUAUACCACAGUUUGUAACCUUUGAUAUCAUCGGCAAACGAUGCAGCUGAUAGUUCGAUCAGAAUAAUAAUGACGGAGGAUGAUGCUACUUCUUCAAAGAAAAACCUGCAGGCAGCGGGCAGUGAGCCUUCUGGAAAAUAAGAAAGAAGUGAUUAUUAGGCUUUCCUGAUACAGAACAAGAAAGAUCAACACGAGAAAAGAGUCGUUGGGAAAUGGAAAACCUUUGAGAUUAGAAUUAACUUUGGUAGUUGAUGAUAGCCAUUCAUCUGCUCUUUCAAUUGCAAGAGAGCAAAGUUUCAGCACAUCGCCAGCUACAGGGAGUCUGCUGACAAUGCCCCGUGCCAAGUUGGCAGAAACGCCGUUUAUCGAGCCAACCUCAGUCUCUAGCUUGGCUUUCGCAUCUUUUAUGAAUUCGUGUAACUGUUUGAAUCUUGAAGUUCCAUCCAGUAAUCUAUAACUAAGGUCUAUUCUAUAACAUAGCACAUCAACACGACGUGCAUCUUUGGCAAUAGUGAGCUGCUUCUUCCAGGAUCUGCAAGUAUGUAGACCAUUUGACGAUAAUGCACCCUUUCUAUACAGGAUUGGAAGAGAAAUGAAACGGAAAAACAAUUACUUACUCUAGAAUGCCAGACACUUUACCGCAAGAAGCGCAACAAUAACUGCCAUCUAGCUGCAUGAGUUGCCCGAGAUCAACAACUCCAACCUUUCCAUGCUGGAAGGCACACUCAAUGUGACAAGAGAGCCCACAAGAAUCCUCAUCACUAGAUUCAGAUUUGCAAAACAACCACAGACUCGGGUCUUUAUUCUCGUCAAAGGAAUGACAGAUACAGCAAGAACAUCUCUCGCAAAAUGAGUCCUCGAUCGAUAAGACAGCUCGGCAGGCAGAAUUUUUACAUAUCCACGAGUUUUCACUCCCAAAUUCCGGCGAUUCAUCAGAGGAAUGCACGAUCCGUGUAGGAUUAUCCCCCUUUCUUUUCUGCUUCUUUGAAGAAGACUGAUUAUUAGUGGCAGGAUUUUUCUUUGUUUCCUGCUUCUUGUUCGUUUUGUUACACGACUUAAGUUCAGUCAUUUUGCUUUUGGAUGAUGAUGAUUGUUUAUUGUCCUUAUCAAAGCAAGUACGGAGAAGGUCCUUUCUGGGACCAGAUUUCAGAAACUCUUGAAUUAGCUCUGAACUUCUUGAAGCCUCAUCGGAAUUAUUAUUUUUCUCUCGAGUGCUAUCACACUGACUUUGGAGUGUUAUGCACACUGGAAGAGAGGCUUUGAACACCAGAAACUGGAAUAGACAAGGGGCCAAUUUCAGAAAUUGAAAUGCGCUCCACAAUCUGUCCGAUUAAAAUGCAGAAGUUCAUCUGCAACAAUUUUCUUUUGUAAGAUUCUCAGUCAUGCAAUGAAACGGAGAGAAUACGGAACCCAAAAACAACCAUACAAAUAAAAAUCCAUGCAGACGAAGUAACCAAGACAUGACUAGGACAAAGUCAAACACUUUGGUUCUGCAGAUAGGAAAACACCGUCCAAUCAAAUUAUAGAAACACGGGCCAGGAACGUGUUAAUCAUUACAAGAAACAAUCUUCAAUUUCAUCAACCUCAGCCUUAUGUUUGAGAGAAACAUGUUGCAUUAUUGUACAAAAAUGACUGUAACAGGAAAAACAAAUGGAACAUGUUGGUAAAGAUAUACAUUAGCAGGAAAUUAUCAGUAAUUCAGCACAUGAGCAACCAUACAGUAUAUUAUGCAUACAAACUCAUGACAGUUUCGAAACCCAUUUCGUUCAAUGUAAUUGUGCAACUUAGUAACCAUCGAUUACAAGCCAACCUCAAUUUUAGAGGUCAGAGACAGACCAUACCUCUGCCGUGGAAUUUAUCAUCCAAGUCCAUUACUAUACAGAACCACCCAAUAGCUUUAGCUGCCCAUCUAUUACAAAGACGCUAAAAAUAUCAAUAAAUUGACAUGGAAAUUCCCCACGUUUAUCCAAAAGCUCAAUCAAACAUACGUAAACAUGCUACUCAAAUUUAUAGAAUCCAACGCACUUUCACGCCCCAUGAGGGAAUACCAGGCAAGAAGAACAAGACAAUUUGUAAAAGAAAUCUUUUGAGUGAAAUGCUUGGAGGGGAGACAAAGAAGGAUCAAGAUCAUCAGUUAGCCACGUCUUCAAAGUAAGAGAUAAUUUUAUGUAAGUUGAAUGCCGAAUGCAGAUACUAGUAAAGACAAACAUGAGCAAUGAAAUGCAUAAAAUCCGUAGAGAAAGCAACAAAUUAUAAGAUUCAUACUUAAAAAAACAGUAGCGUAGCUGAACUGGGAACUUCCAGAGAAAGAACAAAAUAAAAGGCCUAGCGAACAAGAACAAAGAUUGGAGUAAACAAGCUCCAAUUGCGAUCAAGGGCAAACAUAAUGAAGAUAAUCAUCUAGAAUCCUCGCACCAGUCCCCUUUCGUCUCCAUUACUCCCACAUAGAAACAGGUUCCCCUAUCUUGUUCAGAAUAUUUAUAAAAAAGGCAAUAUAAUUAUUAAAAAAAUAACUCGACCUUCCAAACCUAUGCAACAAAGUUCCCACUACAUCAGAACCCCGUACAUUGCGUAAAUUCAACGUGAAAAGCAAAUAAUUCACACGGAAAAUUCAAACAUACAAAUUGAAGCAGCUACGUAGAAUCAAAUAGUUCUGGAAAAAAAAAAAAAUCCUCACGAAUUUCACAAAGCCAUGGCGAUAGAAAGAAAAGCAAGCGCAAUAGUUCUGGAAACGUUAACCGAAUCAGAGCGGGCAACUGUAACGGAUCUGAGCACGUAAAAGCGUCCGGCAAAACGAGAAAAGAUGAAAGCACAAGCGAAGGGAAGAGAAAACCAUGAGAGACGUACCAGCAGGACCGAGUGGAAAAAUAAGCUCCUAGGGUUUGGAAUGGGACCAGCAAAAAGCCCCAAGGACGAAGAAGAAGAAGUAGAAGAAGAAAUUUCUCUCUGUGAAUGAGGAGAAUCCAAAGAGGCAGAGAGAAGAGAGAGAGAGGGAUUAGCUUCUCUGCUGCUAUUGUUGCUGUUUUGCGAGAAAGAGAAAAUAAAAAAAGAAUGCUUGUACGAGAUGUUCACGUUUCAGAGCACGGAAGGGGAGGUGGUGGGAAAACUUUACGCGCGGGUGUUGGCGCGUGGUUUUGUUGGGCGAGUUGAAGGCUCCUGGUUGGCUCAGUCAGAGGAGACAAAGUACGUUGAGCACCGUCACGUGGUUUUAUUGGUACGUGAAAGUAAACCCACGCUGUGCUAGCGCGUUACUAUUACUCGUAUAUUUUUAUUUCAGGAUUAUCGGAAUCUUUUAUUCCUAAUAUCUGUUGUUUUUUGUUUUUCAGUUAUUAAAUUUCGCCGGGUGUUUUCUCUCUUUUCUUUCUUUUUCGAACUAAGUGGUCGUCAAAUAUUAUUAAUGUUGUAUUGAAAGGCAUAAUGUUUGAACAAUAUUAAUAAGACAAAUCGAAAAUAUAUUCCUAAUCUAAAGGGACGUAUAGAAAUGUGAUUGCUGAGCUAGCUCAUGUAUAAUCAUGUUCCUUUCUCUCCUAAUAAAAUAAAACAAAAAGUCAUAUUCUGCCUGAAAUAAUCCCCUACACAUACGAAUGAUCUUGCCCAAUUUUGAGCUAUCGUCCUCUAAUCCAACUAGGGUGUGCAUUACAAGUUUGGAGUCACCUUCAAACACCACUCUCUCCAAUCCCAAAUACAGCACUCAUCGCAUUGCCUCCAACAGGGUUGCGGCCUCUGCCACCUUGACCCACCAAGUGCCUCGCCGAGUUUGCAUCUUGUAGUGCAACACCGAUCCCGAAACAUCUCAAAUGACCAUUCCCAUUGCCUUGAUGUGCGAUCAUUGAACACUGCGACAUCAAAGUUACAUUUCACUGUAUCAGUUUGAGGAGGGUGCCACUUAGGGCAAUAUCUUGAUGUAUCAGUACUGAAGGCUUCGUUCUAGCUCCCCGCCAUUCAUGUAGGUAUUGGAUUCCUUCCGCGAUCACCAAAACCGGCUCGCCUAGAGCCGGCCAAUGAACGGGCACAAAACUAGUUAAUAUUAUAGUACAUCUCUUUUCUAAAUUAUCCUCUUCUCCACUGAAGUGCCAUCAAGGCGAGCCUCUAUUUGUUGACUUUAUUUGCCAGGUCAGCAUAGAAACGAGCAACCAAAGACGACGUCGUACGAGGACAUCUUUCACAAUUAUAGAUUUAUAUACUCAUGCAUAUCGGCAAGCAGUUAAAAAGAUGGUCAUGCAUAUCGGCAAGCAGUUAAAAUACAGAGAUUCUAUCAGCUCAUUCUUCCCUGCAUCUUUCACUUGAAUGCUUGACGACUCAAAUUUGUCACGGAGGUCGUCCUCCAACUUCGAUCUGCUGCUCGACGACUAGAGCUGGUUCCACGGAAAGUUGGUUUAAUUUAGCAUUUAGCACUCCUCUUUUUCGAAAGAUCUCUCAACUUGUCAAGCUUCUGAACUACGGAAUUCCUGUGUGACGACUCUCUCCAGUCGGUGCUUCUGCGACAUCGGCCGAAUUAGGCUCAGCUGCGGAGAGUGUCAAGUGCUGAAAGCCUUGUCUCAAAUAAUUGAUCGUGAUUUUAAGCCCCAACUGUUCUGAUGCUCGUGGGACAUAGCAAGUCAUCGAGAUUCAAUAAUUACCCUUCAUUGAAGAGAAGACACAGUUACAAAUAAUGACAAAUAUCUCAUUCAUUACGCAGACAGAUGGAAACUGAGGUUAUCCUUUCCUAACUAAAAUGCUAAUGUUCAAAUUCAAUGCCGACUAAUAAACGUGCCUUCCUCGCAGCCAUUGACUCUGCUAUUAGCCUGUUCUUGGAUGACUUGGACUGCAAGGUAACAAAAAAUUGCCCUUUCUUAAGUAAGGUGGGUUGUUAUUUCAAUGCCAUAACUUGCUGCAGAACCCAUUCCU
rnacentral:lncRNA from 1 species